CUGACCUGGGCCCACUGUCUGGCACUCCCUAGUGAGAUGGACCCGGUACCUCAGAUGGAAAUGCAGAAAUCACCCGUCUUCUGCGUCGCUCCGAAAGAGUGGACCAGGAGGAGUUUUCAGAGGAGUCUGUGAUAGGCGCUUUGUGACUCCAGGACACGUUGAGUAUACGUGAUUGAUGAAACCAAUGGUACAUCUGGAACACUGGCUGAAAUGAAGAAUGGAAAAUGUUAGCUUUCCAGGCCUCCUCAGGCCAGGAAGGCAUACUGGAGAGAUACGGCAGCAGAGUCACACAAGCAAGGCAGCUGGAUUUGUGACAAUGAGAGAAGCGCGGGGUCAAAGAACAUAGAGUGUUUUGAGAACAGUGUCUCCAGAUGAGAGGGAAGAGAACUGAGCAGGAAGCUAAAGAACUGGCGCCAGAAAACCACUCCCAGGAUGCCUACUUUUCAUGCUGCGUGUUUUCAUGUCAAUACCUCUUCCUGUGGCUUUAAGAUUGGAACUAUUUAAAAAAUGUCACUGUCAAUUACAUGCAAACCUUAUUGUGGUUAGUCU
rnacentral:lncRNA from 10 species